CAGAGGGGCGGGGAGCGCUACGCAGUCUCUCUGUAGCUAAGGUGGUUGAUUCUCCAGGAGGGAGUGGGAUGUGGAGAGAUGUGUUUAUAGCUCUGAAUUUCGUUCAGUUCUCAGUCAAGCAUCACGUGUAAUUGAAGAGAUUCCUUACGGAUUUUCUUGCGGUAGCCUACCUAUAAAGAGAAUUACCAAGUAGAAGAGAGACGCGCAUUCCGACCCUCUCAUCACUUUUGUCGUCUCACCUGCACAAGCGGUGAACAGGAGAGGUACCUUAUCAUGGAUCAGGAGAAAUGCUUACCGGAGCUGAUGGCCGAGAAAGAUACGCUGGACUCCUCAUUUGUUCAUGCAAUGCGUCUGCUUGCCGAAGAAAUUGAAAAGUAUGAGGGGGAUGAGUUGAGAAAAGACGGUGACGUCAAGAAAUACCUCGAUGUCAUCAGUAACAAAAACAUCAAGCUCUCGGAAAGAGUACUCAUCCCAGUUCAACAGUACCCGAAGUUUAAUUUUGUUGGGAAGCUGUUGGGUCCACGGGGCAAUUCCAUGAAAAGAUUACAAGAAGAAACAGGAGCAAAGAUGUCCAUCCUCGGAAAAGGCUCCAUGAGGGACAAAGGAAAGGAAGAAGAGUUGAGGAAAAGUGGAGAGGCCAAGUAUGCCCAUUUGAGUAACGAUCUCCACGUUUUAAUUGAAGCCUUCGCUCCUCCCGGAGAGGCCUAUUCCCGCAUGAGCCAUGCCUUGGAGGAGAUUAAGAAAUUCCUAGUUCCAGACUACAAUGAUGAGAUCAGACAGGAGCAGCUGAGGGAGCUCUCCUACUUGAACGGAGGAUCAGAAGACACCAGCAGAGGGAGGACUGUACGUGGGCGGGGCUUACGACUGGCUUCCACCACAAACACACGGGCACGGGGUGGUGUGGUCCCACCCCCUCCACCUGUCAGGGGGGCAGCUGUACCCAGGGGAACAGUGGGUAAGCGGAGUGUCCUGCCACAAGCCACAUUAACGAGAGGAGUACCUGCUCCCAGGGCCAGGGGAACACCAGGGAACACCGGGUACAGACCCCCACUGUUACCCAUCACACACGAAUCAUAUGACGACUACGGCUAUGAUGAUGGAUAUGACGGUGAAUAUGAUGACCAGAGUUAUGAUGCCUAUGAGGAGAACUACAGCAAUCAGUCAAAGAGCAUUUCUGAAUAUUACGAAUAUGGCCAUGGAACCAAUGACGAAGCCUACAACAAUUAUGAAGAGGAGUGGACUACAACCCGUCCGACACUCAAAGCCCCAACAACAAGGCUCUCACGAGGGGGCUACAGAGAACAUCCCUAUGGUGUAACAUAUUGUGUGAACUGUUCAAUAAGGGGAGUGUGAGAGUAUGGAAAACACAGUAAACUCUUCCCUGGGGACCGCAGAGUGCCUCCGCCUAUCUGAAGUGCUGGGCACAACCAGAAAUUAGCCUUGUGCGAAUGAGCAUGCGUCUGUCCUCACAGAAUGUUGACACCACAACAUCAGAGAGAUUCUUUUUUUUUGGUGACGUCGUGUGCCACUUCCGAAGGAACCGGGGGUGCCUCAGCUGGCUCGUCAGGCUUCCAUGCCUUAGCUGGCUCGAGAGGUUUUCUUGCCUCGGGUUGGCUCGGCAGGCUCCCAUCCCACGUCAUUCCUCAGCCGGCUCGUCGAGCUCCCGCGCCUCAGCCGGCUCGUCAGGCUCCCGCGCCUCAGCCAGGUCUCGUCAGGCUCCCACGCCUCAGCCGGCUGGUUGGGAUCCCAUGCCUCGGGGGCCCCCCCUAGAGGGGGGGCUACUGUCACGCCUGCUCCUGCUCCCCCUCUCUGGCGCUCUCUGGCGCCAGGCGGCCCAUCAUUACCCACACCUGUCAUCAUCGUUACACACAUCAGUGCUUCAUUGGACACACCUGGACCAUCAUUUAUUGAUUGCCUCCCCUAUAUCUGUCUAUUCCCCAGUUUCAUCCCCUGUUGCAGCACUAAUGUCGUUUUUGUUCCCCCUGUCCAAACGCUGUCCUUGUUUUGUUUCAUGUCGGUUAUUUACUAAAUAUUCACUCCCUGUACUUGCUUCUCGUCUAUCAGCGUCUGCCCUUACAGACUGGCUGACUGGCAUGGGGAGGCGAGGGGGAGAAGAGAACAGGUGUCUAGACCAGACAGCAGUCAGUGAGCCUUUGCUCAUCACCACAACUGUCUUAUUUAUUCAGGAACAUCCACAAACUUACAGCACUCAGUUGUUGCAGUGUCAAAUUGAUUGCAGUUUCAAAUUCAAAUGGCAAAGAAUAGCCACAAAGCCAUGUUUUCUAACUCAUCCAAAGACUACAAUAACACCAUCAAGAAGAUUGUCAAGCUUUGUCUCUUGCCUGUUUUUCAGAUGUGCAAAUGGUUCUGUGGAUGUGUAGCAUCUUCCCUGUCCAUGUCAACAAGUCAACUUGGCCAGAUGAAUGCCUACACUUUAUCAUGCAUGUAUUUUAUCAUUGUGAUUAAGUUAGCCGUGCCAUACUAGUUUGUUGUGUUUCCAUACAACCUUCAUUUCCAUUGCAUUGCAUGCUUAUACUGUAGUUUUGAUUGGUAGUUUUCAUUUUGUUAUAGCUGAAAAUUUGAGCAGAACUUAUACUCUUCCCUUGAAGCAAUAUAAGAGGUUUUCUCGGUUCACCGGGGUUUUCUCAGUUCACCGGGGUUUUCCCAGUUCGCCAGGGUUUUCCCAGUUCGCAGGGGUUUUUCCAGUUCGCAGGGGUUUUUCCAGUUCGCCAGGGUUUCACUCGUUCACCAGGGUUUCACUCGUUCACCAGGGUUGUACUAUAGUAAGUAUACUGUAGUUUCACCAGUAUCACCUCUCCUACCUUUUUCAUCCCAGAGAGCAGAUCAUUGCUAAAGCAUCCUGUCUAUAAUUUCAUUUUCUACACAAAAGCCCCCAAAUAUGUAUUACAGCAUUCAGGACUAAUAGAUGUUUACUCAACUGUAGCUCGAACUGAGAUAUUUCUUUCUAUUUCCCCUCACUGCAGGCAGUGAAAUAUACGUGCUGUUUCUGUAUUGUAUUUCCUCUGCUGCCAUUCUACUGUGUUGAACGAGGGGACAAACAGGACAAAUACAUUCUACAUUUGCUUUCACUUAAAUGCUGACAUUGUAUGUAAUGAGGUUCGUAUGUGAUGAGGUUCGUAUGUAAUGAAGUUCGUAGGUAAACUAAAACUGUGCAGUUAAAAGUGUGCAGUGCCAUUUCACAAUAGGUCAAAAUGUAUAAUUCAGCCAAUGUUAGUGUAUUUACAUUAAAAUCACUUUUUAUCCUA